UGUGCCAGCAGCCGCGGUAAUACGUAGGGCGCAAGCGUUGUCCGGAAUUAUUGGGCGUAAAGAGCUCGUAGGCGGCUUGUCGCGUCGGUUGUGAAAGCCCGGGGCUUAACCCCGGGUCUGCAGUCGAUACGGGCAGGCUAGAGUUCGGUAGGGGAGAUCGGAAUUCCUGGUGUAGCGGUGAAAUGCGCAGAUAUCAGGAGGAACACCGGUGGCGAAGGCGGAUCUCUGGGCCGAUACUGACGCUGAGGAGCGAAAGCGUGGGGAGCGAACA
rnacentral:rRNA from 1 species